UCUCUGACAGACUCCGGUGGAACUUUUAUAUUCUAAUUGGUGUCUGUUUUUUGUUGAUAAUAAAAAUGUUGGUAAAGGUUCAAGCUUUCUUAUCUGGCCCAAGUCUUGAAUUUUUACACGACAUUAGGGUCAUGUGAUCACUGCAAAAGGGAAAAAGAAAAAAAGAAGAGCCCUCUCACCCCAAAGCAAAUUGAAGCAUUUAGAAACAGGUAAAUUAACUUUUUAUGGAUGAUGCUCACAUUAAGGCACCAUGGGCAGAAACCGCACAUGGGGAAGGCCUGAGAUUUCAUGUUGAUUUAAAACGGGCUCUUCAGUCUCCACCGACCCUCGGUCUUCCUGACUGUAACAAACCUUUCACACAGACUGUUGACGAAAAGGGGGGGUACAUGACCUCAGUACUACUACAAGACCAUGGGGGACGACUGAGACCUGUAGCCUAUUUCUCAUCCAAACUGGACUCUGUUGCAGCCAAACUGCCUGAGAGCUGUGGCGGCUGCUGAAAAGCAGCCAUGGCAUCACGUGACAUUGUGGGUUAUUCAGACUUUACAUUAUUUGUUCCACAUGCUGUGUCGAUGAUUUUGCUUGAACAAAAAACAUCUCAUCUCUCCACAGCCAGGUGGCUGAGAUACAACACCUUGUUGCUUGAUAUGUCUAACAUCACUGUUAAGAGGUGCACUGUGUUAAAUCCUGCUACUCUCUCUCUACUCUCAAGUCUGCUCUCCAAGGGCAGACUUACAGGAGACUCCUCUAACAAACCCAGACAUGGAGUUGUUUGUGGACGGCUCAGCAUCACGUGAUCCAGCAACUGGAAAAAAUCGAGCAGGUUUUGCAGUAACAACUUUGCAUGAGACAAUUUUAUCAAAACCGCUCCCUUCAAACUAUUCUGCACAAGCAGCAGAGCUAGCUGCACUGACAGAAGCAUGUAAAUAUGCAAAGGACAAAACUGGAAACAUUUUUACAGACAGACGUUAUUCUUGGGGUGUUAUUCAUGAUUUUGGGAGAUUGUGGGCAAACAGGAAGUUUUUAACAUCCACAGGCAAACCUAAUGCUCAUCACACACUGGUUGAUGAACUACUUGAUGCUGUGCUGUUGCCCAAAAUGGUUGCUGUGUGUAAAUGUGACGCUCACGCGAACAAACUUGAUCCUAUCUAACAGGGGAAUGCCAGAGCUGACCUUGCAUCGUUCCCCGGGACGACCCGACAGGCCGGGUUUUGGAUUUUGGAUUUCUGUUAUUCAGCCACUCACCUGUCAAAAACACCAUCCCAAAGGCCGCAUAAAAGAAACUGCACGAUCUGGAGCCAGGGGACUGGACUGUGGUGAAGGACUUUAGGAGAAAGCAUUAGUGGGCUCGCAGGUGGACUGGGCUAUUUCAGAUGCUGCUAACAACAGAAACAGCAGUAAAAGUGGCUGAAAGAGCAACUUGGAUUCACGCCACAGACCAGGUGAAGAUGGAGAUCAGUGAGUGAGCUGAGCUUUCCCCUGCCUUGUGUUCCUAGGGAGGGAGGGGAGUGAAGAUCUCUGAGACCACC